rnacentral:rRNA from 1 species
GACGAACGCUGGCGGCGUGCCUAAUACAUGCAAGUCGAGCGGGCCUCCGGAGGUGCUUGCACCUCCGGAAGGCCAGCGGCGGACGGGUGAGUAACACGUGGGCAACCUGCCUUUGAGGCCGGGAUAACACCGGGAAACCGGUGCUAAUACCGGAUACGUCCCCUUUCGCGCCUGCGAGAGGGGAGAAAGACGGUCUUUAAGGCCGUCGCUCAAAGAGGUGCCCGCGGCGCAUUAGCUGGUUGGUGGGGUAAGGGCCUACCAAGGCGACGAUGCGUUGCCGACCUGAGAGGGUGAUCGGCCACACUGGGACUGAGACACGGCCCAGACUCCUGCGGGAGGCAGCAGUAGGGAAUCAUCCGCAAUGGGCGAAAGCCUGACGGUGCAACGCCGCGUGAGUGAGGAAGGUUUUCGGAUCGUAAAGCUCUGUUGUGAGGGAAGAACAGCUUCCGGAGGAAAUGCCGGAGGUUUGCCGGUACCUCACCAGAAAGCCCCGGCUAACUACGUGCCAGCCGCCGCGGUAAAAC